CCAAGAGCCAAGAGGAUAGAAAACAGAGAUACAUUCCAUUCCACAAUGUGCUUGGGUUCAGUGCACUCGGACCAUGUGGAGGUAUCCAGAAGGUACCUGUGGGUAAAAAGAGAAACUUCUGACACACGGUCAUACUUGAGGGGAUACUUCAUAAACUACUUUUGUUUGGUGGUUUUUCAUUCAGAAAAAAGGAAUGAAUUAUUCAAUAUCCUGUGUAAGUUUCUUCCACUGCAUGUCAUUCCACAAAAUGGAGGAAUUUAGCCCAGAUCCUACUGUAAUGAUAAACAUAAAAUUAUAAUUUAUAAUUUUUGACCCCAAUCUAGGAUUACAUGGUCAGAAAUUCUCACCUUAUAAUGAUAUUUAUAUUCCCUAACAGGCAUCUGAAUUCUUAUAAACAAAAAUAAAAAUGCAGAACUGUAUUUGUGCUGUGUUUAAAGCUAGGUAAGAUUCAUGUAUGUGUAGGAAGUAAACUACGAGCAAAUGCGGAAAAAUGAAAAUAAUUCAUGUGCUAAAGUAGAGUAUGUGUAGGUGUUUUUUAAAACUGUUUUCCAAUUUUAUUGUUGUUAUUGGUAUAAAAGAUGGGUAUUUGUAUUCAAUAUUGAGUGAAUAUUUAGAAAAUACAAUCUCUUUAGGCUAGUUUUUUUUUUGAACUUUAAAAUAUUAAUUUAGAUCAUUUUAUUACAUCUCAAUUUGUUACUGCUGAAAAUUAUCCAAAUUCUGGCAAGUUUGGAUAUUUAAUAUGCUGGAAUUUUUCAACUGAGACCUUUGGAACAAAGCUAUUUUUUGUUUUUAAGGAAUAAAUUAAUUUGCAACAGGAAGCAAAUUCAUGGGAUUAAACCCAACUAAUUUGAUAGCUCUUUACUUUUUUCUGAGACGGAGUCUGACUCUGUUGCCCAGGCUGGAGUGCAAUGGCGCAAUCUUGGCUCAUUGCAACCUCUACGUCCCAGGUUCAAGCCAUUCUCCUGCCUCAGCCUCCCAAAGUGCUGGGAUUACAGGCGUGAACCACCACGCCCGGCUGAUAGCUCUUCACUUUCAUGAUGCUGUGCCCAAGAGUUGAUAAUAGCAUGUAGCACACUGCAUUUGCUCAUUCAACAAAGAUUAUUGAGCAGUCAGUGUGAGUCUGACACUGAGCCAGAGCUGGGGAUAUAAUGGAGCACAGGGCACGGGCUCUGUCCUGAAAGAGCAUAGCUUCUAAAGGAAGAGACAAGUCACAAGUAAUCUCAAUGCAACAGAUAUGCUGAUCGGUAAACAAAAUAUGGAAGAGCCACAGAGGAAGGGCAUCUAACCUAGUCCAGGGAGAACAGCUGCUUAUGUAUCUAUUCAAUAAGGCUGAGCUCCAUGAAGGUAGGAGCCAGACCUAUUCAUCAUUGUAUAUCCAGCCGCUAGAACAGUAUCUGACACACAAUAGCCACUCAGCACAUUUUAAAAGCAGUUGAAUGAUAAAUAACAAUAUGAAGUUGCUUUGUGAAAUGUCAGCAAACCAUACUGAGGUGAUAUCUGACUAUAGAUUCUAGGAUUUAGUCGAUUUUAUAAAUACCUGGAUAUUCUUCCAGUCUGAAAAAUUCUACUUCUGAUAGCUCUCCUAGAAUUUCAGCCUUUGCUACAGAGUAUUUGGAUUCUUAACAAAAUAUAAUACAAUCAUGUGGGAAAAUCAAGGUUUGACUUAAUUCCACAAAGAGGCCUGGUAUAAUUCUUUUCUUAUCACGACUUCCUUCCACAACAGAACAAAGGGGCUUGGAAUUUGAGACCUAACUUUAGAAUAGUUCAUUGAGCCAAUCAGAGAUUAUAGUUGUUCAUUUCAAAAAAAGUUCUGUUUUUGUGGCCCUGUCUUUCUGCAUGUCAGCAGAACAAAAAUCUAUAUUUUCAGGUCUCAAUGUAAAAAAAAAUUUUUGGCUCCACCUGGCUCCCAGGCAACUAACCUGUGGCUUGUGACUGUUAGUUAUUUCCCAUAUUGAAAUCCUUGGACAGUUUUAAAUGAAGAAUGACAUAGAAGAGGAGGAAGGUUUCUUGUAGAAUCCAGAGUGGAUAAUGGGAGGGGCAAACAGUCAAAUAGCUAUAAAAACCAUUUAGCAAUACUACCACCUCUCCCUGCAUUCUGGUUGCAUAAGUCAUGACUUUUCUUAGAAGUCUGUUUGUGCAAUAGUUUUGUAUGUUUGUACAUAUGUGAAUAGCCAUUUUCUACUAGUACAUCCAGUAUGUUCUGAUAAAAGCUGAGUCAUGAUUGAUCACAGUUUUGAACACCAAAAUUUCAAACUUCUGUAAGUAUCAAUUUUCCUUCAAAGGCUACCAUUGGGUUAUGUUUAUUGUAAGGUAGUAGCUAAUAUUAACAGCUAACAGUGGCAGUUGCACACAAUGUGGCAGCCUCUGUGGGGAACAUUUUACAUAUUAUUUCAUUAAUUCUCAUGACAAUUGCCAUUGAUUUUAUUUUACCAGUGGAGUAACUGAGAUGCAGAGAGCUCAUUUCACCUUUUCCUACAGAUAGGUGCAGAGCUGUGAUUGAACCCAGCUAAUUCAAAUUCAUGAUCUCAUAACUGUGCUAAAUUUGUGAGAUUCAUAUAUCCUCACUACAUGCUUUAAAUUCAUGGGGUCAAACAUUCUUGAUAAUAUAAUUUGUUAUUAAUAUUAUUUUUAAUCAUGAAUCUCAAAACUAAACCUUUCAAAAUUCAACUUCAGAAAGUUGAGUAGGGAAAAGGGAAACUCAGAAUCAACUCCUGCUCAAAGAAACAUGUCAUCCAUUCAUCACCACAUACAUCCGUUUCUAUCAGCUGUGCUGUUUCUGUUCUUUUCUGGAUAACUGAUAAAAAAAAUAAGUAUCAACAUAGAAUGGUAGAACAGCACAAAUUAUCCUGAUAUUAUGAUUGUGAAUAGGCCUUACUUAUAUAGCUUAAUAACUAAAAAAGGGGGCAUUGUACAUAGUUUGUAUGUUUUAUAUGAGUGUAUGUAUGUGUAUGUUUUAUAUGAGUGCAUGUAUACACAGGGGUAAGGGCAUGGUUUGCCCUGGGCUUGGGUUAAAUUCAUAUAGUUGCCAUUCUUAUUAUAUAUGGAUUCUAUAAUACUUUCUUAUAAAGUAGUAAAAUGUAUUACACUUAAUCAGGCAAUUGUUCUGGUAUAAUGUAUGAAGUAAUUGAGAUGCACUAUAUGAACACAAACUCUACAUCUAGACUGCCUGGGUUCAAAUGCUAACUGCCACUUUCUGGCAACGUGACCUUGGAUGAAUUACUCCAUCUCUCUGUGAUUUUGUUUCCUCAUCUUUAAAAUAGGAAGUCACUUCAUAGGGUUAUUAUAAGGACUGAAUUAUUGAAUCUAUUCAAAAGCACUCUGUAUUUGGGAAGCUGAGGAAGGGGUAUUGCUUGAGCUCAGGAGUUAGAGGCUGCAGUAAGCUAUGAUUGUGCCACUGCAUUCUAGCCUGGGUGACAGAUCAAGACCCUGUCUCUGGGGGAAAAAAAAAGAAAGAAAGAAAAGAAAAGAAGCAUUUAGAAUUUGUUUAGGUCGGGGACUGGGGAUCCAUCCUUGGAUACCUAUUGCCUAAACCAUGCCUGAGUCAGUGAGAAUAAACACUGGCUAGGUGGGUGGAUGGAUGGAUAAGUGGAUGCCUAUCUGGUUUGAUAGAGCUGCCACUAUAUACAUGUGGUGGAUAAAAAUGUGUAGCCAUGUAGAGAGUAAUUACAUACUGGCCCUCAGUGCUGGCAAAGGUGUAGUUCCACUGGCCGAGGGAAUCAAGACAUAGUGGUCCUUCUGCUAAGCCAAGGGCUGCCACAAUGAC
rnacentral:lncRNA from 10 species